AGUUUGAUCCUGGCUCAGGACGAACGCUGGCGGCGCGCCUAACACAUGCAAGUCGAACGAGAGAUGAGGAGCUUGCUCUUCAGAUCGAGUGGCGAACGGGUGAGUAACGCGUGAGGAACCUGCCUCAAAGAGGGGGACAACAGUUGGAAACGACUGCUAAUACCGCAUAAGCCCACGGCUCGGCAUCGAGCAGAGGGAAAAGGAGCGAUCCGCUUUGAGAUGGCCUCGCGUCCGAUUAGCUGGUUGGUGAGGUAACGGCCCACCAAGGCGACGAUCGGUAGCCGGACUGAGAGGUUAAACCGCCCACUUUGGGGAUUGAGACCAGGCCCCAGACUUCUUCGGGGAGGCAGCAGUGGGGAAUUUUGCACAAAUGGGGGAAACCCUUGAUGCAGCGACGCCGCGUGGAAGAAAAAAGGUUUUCGGAUUGUAAACUCCUGUUGUUGAGGAAGAUAAUGACGGUACUCAACAAGGAAGUGACGGCUAACUACGUGCCAGCAGCCGCGGUAAAACGUAGGUCACAAGCGUUGUCCGGAAUUACUGGGUGUAAAGGGAGCGCAGGCGGGAGAACAAGUUGGAAGUGAAAUCCAUGGGCUCAACCCAUGAACUGCUUUCAAAACUGUUUUUCUUGAGUAGUGCAGAGGUAGGCGGAAUUCCCGGUGUAGCGGUGGAAUGCGUAGAUAUCGGGAGGAACACCAGUGGCGAAGGCGGCCUACUGGGCACCAACUGACGCUGAGGCUCGAAAGUGUGGGUAGCAAACAGGAUUAGAUACCCUGGUAGUCCACACCGUAAACGAUGAUUACUAGGUGUUGGAGGAUUGACCCCUUCAGUGCCGCAGUUAACACAAUAAGUAAUCCACCUGGGGAGUACGACCGCAAGGUUGAAACUCAAAGGAAUUGACGGGGGCCCGCACAAGCAGUGGAGUAUGUGGUUUAAUUCGACGCAACGCGAAGAACCUUACCAAGUCUUGACAUCCCUUGACGAACAUAGAAAUAUGUUUUCUCUUCGGAGCAAGGAGACAGGUGGUGCAUGGUUGUCGUCAGCUCGUGUCGUGAGAUGUUGGGUUAAGUCCCGCAACGAGCGCAACCCUUAUGGUCAGUUACUACGCAAGAGGACUCUGGCCAGACUGCCGUUGACAAAACGGAGGAAGGUGGGGAUGACGUCAAAUCAUCAUGCCCUUUAUGACUUGGGCUACACACGUACUACAAUGGCGUUAAACAAAGAGAAGCAAGACCGCGAGGUGGAGCAAAACUCAGAAACAACGUCCCAGUUCGGACUGCAGGCUGCAACUCGCCUGCACGAAGUCGGAAUUGCUAGUAAUCGUGGAUCAGCAUGCCACGGUGAAUACGUUCCCGGGCCUUGUACACACCGCCCGUC
rnacentral:rRNA from 1 species